GUUUGGCAGUGAGUGAUUCUUUUUAGGGGAAGGUGUGGUGUAAAGGAUGUUCCGCCUAUUAUUUUACUUUUAUUAUGUUGGUGUAUAUCUGAUUUAAUAUUAUUGCUUAAUGGUUUAAGUUUGUGUAUAUUUAUUUAAGUCAAGUCUAUGUGCUGCUUAUAAAAGUAUUCAUGCGUUACUUUAAUAAUAUGUUGGUUGAAAUAUUAAUUAAUUUAGGACUUAAUAGUAAUAUUUAA
rnacentral:rRNA from 1 species